ACUUGAACAUAAGACCUAUGAGGAGAGGCUGAGGGAGCUGGGGUUGUUUAGUCUAGAGAAGAGGAGGCUUAGAGGUGACCUCAUCACUCUCUAUAACUACCUGAAGGGAAGUUAUAGCCAGGUGGGGAUUGGUCUCUUCUCCCAGGCAGUUAGCAAUAGGACAAGGGGGCAUGGGCUUAAACUCUACCAGGGGAAAUUUAGGCUGGAUAUUAGAAAGAAAUUCUUUACAGAGAGAGUGAUCAGGCAUUGGAAUGGCUGCCCAGGGAGGUGCUGGACUCGCCGUCCCUAGAGGUUUUUAAACUGAGAUUGGACAUGGCACUUAGUGCCAUGAUCUAGUAAACGGACUAGAGUUGGACCAAGGGUUGGACUCGAUGAUCUCUGAGGUCUUUUCCAACCCAGUCGAUUCUGUGAUUCUGUAAAAGGCAUGAAAAUGCUGCAAAGGGCCAACACAAAGUUUUGAAAGUCUAUGUUUUGAGUCUUUGCCCCAGAUUCUGGCUUCAACCCACACCCUGGGGUGAAGGAAGGAGCGGGAUGGUCGGAAACUGUGCUUGGACACUCGCACAUCAGGGAGGUGCUGGUAGGAGGUGGCAAGUGCUGGCAAGGCAGCUGUGUAGCCCAUGUGCUGGCCAGGACCCUCCUCUCCACCCGAGCACUUGUUUGUACACCACGUCUGGCCUCUCCCACAGGGAGAGGAGCUGCUUGGGUCAAAGAGAUGGUGUUUGGUUUCCCAGGAGGUGGACAAACUCGAAUAUCUGGUUCUCCGGUGCUUCACAUGGUCUAUUCACUGAAGAGAUCAAAGCACGUUUAUUUCUGGCAGAAGACGGCACAGAUUCCCGUGGCUGUAUGUCAGCAGAGCUCUCUGACCAGCCCAUUCACCGAAGCCAUGCCAAAACUUCAGCACUACUCAUUGUCCCUUUUGGGAAAACAGCCUUUUAGCUACCGGACCAGCUUUCCCUAUUAAUUAGUUUGUAAUGAUCAGACACAACAAAUUCUCUUGAAUAUUUAUUUUUGACAACUGCAUUACGUAUCAAAUAACCUCAGAUUUUCAGGCAUCCAGGUGGAAUAGUUGUGAAACCAGAUGAUGAGCUGACUCAUCUAAGGUAACGCCGUGAAGCAGUUUGAUUCGGCUCAGAGUUGAAGCUCCGUCUGGCUGUAGGUGUGACUGGUGAGUCGCCACCCCUUAGUCACUGGCCACUGUGGAGUUGAGCUCUGUGACUGAAGGGAAAAGGGAAGUUUAACUUCCACAUAAACUUCCCCCUGGAUCCUUUUUCUUUCUUUCCUCCGAAUUUUUGGCAGCUUGGAAGGAGGUUGGUUAGUCACAGCUUUUCCCUCCAAGCUCUACCACAUCACAAGCUCUGUUGUGUGUUGGGGUGUCUGGUAUUGAGUCAUGCUCUUUUUUAUUGUGCCUAUAUUUUUUUUAUCAUAAUCAUCUUCACUGAUGUUCUGUCCUGCAUUUUCUUUAUUGGAAUAAUAAUUUGCAUAUUAAUAGGAUUUUGAGUCUGUUUCCAGAGGAGCAGCUCUUAGCUGAGGUUUCGGUUUAGAGCGGGGCUUGGACCAGAUGGCCUCCUGAGAUCCCUUCUGACCUCAAUGAUUCCUGCCCAGUGGGGACUGGGUGGAGGUUUCCAAUGGCUUGUGAUUAAAGCAUCAUGUUCCUGUCCUGCCUGUUUCACAAAAAUAUGACUCCCUAUGAUUUACUCCUCAGAGAAAUUGUUCUGACAAACAUGCUGGCAGGGCUGAGGUCUCCCUCAGUUUCUUCUGGAUGUGUUCACUGGAAGGAAUCUUGACAAAGAGACAACUGGAUGCUGGCUCCAUGAGCUACUGCACUUGCCUGUAGAUGGAAUAGACCAGUGUUCAUGUAAGUGGAAAUGAAGUGAGUUCAAGUUCAAGAAACAAAAAGAUUGCAGAGGACCCAACAUCGAAGUCAAAGGAUAACGAUGUUGCAGAAUGAAGAACACACUUCUGUGGAGACUUCAGUCUGCAAAGCCAACAUGUUUCUUCCGUUCACUGAAUUAGGCAUGUUAAUUUUUGCACUAUGAGGGGACAGGGCACGUAUUUACAGUUUGUCACUCAUGUAUUGUCACUCAUUUUAGUCAAAUGGUGUCCUUACUGAGUUUGCUUUGGUAAAUCAUGGAGGAAGGAUUCUAUAUAAAUCGGAAAGAAAAACUCAAUGAUAUUCUUUAAGUAUUAGUUGUAGAGAACAUAGCUAUUCCUGUGUUUCACCUUUUCUUUCUGAAUUUAUUGAAGAACUUAAUUAAUUACACUUAAAU